GACGAACGCUGGCGGCGUGCUUAACACAUGCGAGUCGAACGGAAAGGCCCUGCUUUUGUGGGGUGCUCGAGUGGCGAACGGGGGAGUAACACGUGAGUAACCUGCCCUUGACUUUGGGAUAACUUCAGGAAACUGGGGCUAAUACAGGAUAGGAGCUCCUGCUGCAGGGUGGGGGGGGGAAAGUUUCGGCGGGUGGGGAUGGACUGGCGGGUGAUGGGCUUGUUGGUGGGGUAGUGGCUGACCAAGGCAUUGACGGGUAGCCCGCCGGGGAGGGUGAACGGGCACCUUGGGCCUGAGGGAGGGCGCAGCCUGGAACGGGAGGCAACGGUGGGGAAUAUUGCACAGUGGGCCGGCGUGUGAUGAGACGACCCCGCGUGCGGGAUGACCGCCUGCGGGUUGUGAACCGCUUCCGCCUGUGACGAAGCGUGAGUGACGGUACUGGGUAAAGAAGCACCGGCUAACUACGUG
rnacentral:rRNA from 1 species